GCAGAGUAGAAACCAAUGCGUCAAGUGCCGACCGGACGGGGAGUUGCCGGGCGGACGAAAAGGAUUCCUUGCGGUAUUGGUUUCGCAUCCCGCUGC
rnacentral:ncRNA from 1 species